rnacentral:rRNA from 1 species
ACGCACGCUGGCGGCAGGCCUAACACCUGCAAGUCGCGCGAGGACUUCGGUUCUAGCGGCGGACGGGUGAGUAACGCGUGGGAAUGUGCCCUUCUCUACGGAAUAGCCCUGGGAAACUGGGAGUAAUACCGUAUACGCCCUAUUGGGGAAAGAUUUAUCGGAGAAGGAUCAGCCCGCGUUGGAUUAGGUAGUUGGUGGGGUAAUGGCCUACCAAGCCGACGAUCCAUAGCUGGUUUGAGAGGAUGAUCAGCCACACUGGGACUGAGACACGGCCCAGACUCCUACGGGAGGCAGCAGUGGGGAAUCUUAGACAAUGGGGGCAACCCUGAUCUAGCCAUGCCGCGUGAGUGAUGAAGGCCUUAGGGUUGUAAAGCUCUUUCAGCUGGGAAGAUAAUGACGGUACCAGCAGAAGAAGCCCCGGCUAACUCCGUG